AUUCAUAUGACGAGUCCAAAAUAGGACGAAAUGUACACCGCGUGAAU
rnacentral:hammerhead_ribozyme from 1 species